GAUGAACGCUGGCGGCAUGCCUAACACAUGCAAGUCGAACGGAGUUAUAUUGAAUGAUUUCUUCGGAAUGAUUUUAAUUUAACUUAGUGGCGGACGGGUGAGUAACGCGUGAGUAACCUGCCUCUCAGAGGGGGAUAACGUUCUGAAAAGAACGCUAAUACCGCAUAUAAUUACGAAACCGCAUGGUUUUGUAAUGAAAGGAGCAAUCCGCUGAGAGAUGGACUCGCGUCUGAUUAGCUAGUUGGUGGGGUAAUGGCCUACCAAGGCGACGAUCAGUAGCCGGACUGAGAGGUUGAACGGCCACAUUGGGACUGAGAUACGGCCCAGACUCCUACGGGAGGCAGCAGUCGGGAAUAUUGCGCAAUGGAGGAAACUCUGACGCAGUGACGCCGCGUAUAGGAAGAAGUUUUUCGGAAUGUAAACUAUUGUCGUUAGGGAAGAGAAAGGACGGUACCUAAGGAGGAAGCCCCGGCUAACUAUGUG
rnacentral:rRNA from 1 species